CACCUCUUCCCAUUUCGAACAGAGAAGUUAAGCCCGCUAGCGCAGAUGGUACUGCUAACCAGUGGGAGAGUAUGUCGUCGCCUUUC
rnacentral:rRNA from 1 species